rnacentral:tRNA from 2 species
GCGGGUGUGGUGGAAUUGGUAGACACGCUAGACUUAGGAUCUAGUGCAGCAAUGUGUGAAGGUUCGAGUCCUUUCACCCGCA